AGUCGAGCGAAUGGAUUAAGAGCUUGCUCUUAUGAAGUUAGCGGCGGACGGGUGAGUAACACGUGGGUAACCUGCCCAUAAGACUGGGAUAACUCCGGGAAACCGGGGCUAAUACCGGAUAACAUUUUGAACCGCAUGGUUCGAAAUUGAAAGGCGGCUUCGGCUGUCACUUAUGGAUGGACCCGCGUCGCAUUAGCUAGUUGGUGAGGUAACGGCUCACCAAGGCAACGAUGCGUAGCCGACCUGAGAGGGUGAUCGGCCACACUGGGACUGAGACACGGCCCAGACUCCUACGGGAGGCAGCAGUAGGGAAUCUUCCGCAAUGGACGAAAGUCUGACGGAGCAACGCCGCGUGAGUGAUGAAGGCUUUCGGGUCGUAAAACUCUGUUGUUAGGGAAGAACAAGUGCUAGUUGAAUAAGCUGGCACCUUGACGGUACCUAACCAGAAAGCCACGGCUAACUACGUGCCAGCAGCCGCGGUAAUACGUAGGUGGCAAGCGUUAUCCGGAAUUAUUGGGCGUAAAGCGCGCGCAGGUGGUUUCUUAAGUCUGAUGUGAAAGCCCACGGCUCAACCGUGGAGGGUCAUUGGAAACUGGGAGACUUGAGUGCAGAAGAGGAAAGUGGAAUUCCAUGUGUAGCGGUGAAAUGCGUAGAGAUAUGGAGGAACACCAGUGGCGAAGGCGACUUUCUGGUCUGUAACUGACACUGAGGCGCGAAAGC
rnacentral:rRNA from 1 species